rnacentral:sRNA from 1 species
CUCUGGGUGGGAAAAAAUAAAGUGUUUGUGGACGCAUAACAACACAAUCAAUUUGUUCGAAAUAAAAAGGUUUGUGAAACAAUGUGUUGUGCUUUUAGUCUGCAACUACAACAACAAUGUUUGGAUACAAGUGGAAGAUGCUGACAAAGGCUUUUGCAAAGUUGCGCUUAUUUAUAACAGUGAAUAUACUACAAAAUCUAAAUAUUGGUAUAAAUAAAUGCUGAAUGCUUUCUCUUUUUAAA